UACGGGGGAUGCAAGCGUUAUCCGGAAUUAUUGGGCGUAAAGGGUCCUGAGGUGGCUAGCCAAGUCUAUUGUGAAAUAUCAGGGCUUAACCCUGAACAUGCGGUGGAAACUAGAAAGCUUGAGUACAGUAGGGGCGGAGGGAAUUUCCGGUGGAGCGGUGAAAUGCAUAGAUAUCGGGAAGAACACCAACGGCGAAAGCACUCCGCUGGGCUGAUACUGACACUGAGAGACGAAAGCUAGGGGAGCGAAUGGG
rnacentral:rRNA from 1 species